rnacentral:rRNA from 1 species
AUUGAACGCUGGCGGCAGGCCUAACACAUGCAAGUCGAGCGGAUGAAGGGAGCUUGCUCCUGGAUUCAGCGGCGGACGGGUGAGUAAUGCCUAGGAAUCUGCCUGGUAGUGGGGGAUAACGUCCGGAAACGGGCGCUAAUACCGCAUACGUCCUGAGGGAGAAAGUGGGGGAUCUUCGGACCUCACGCUAUCAGAUGAGCCUAGGUCGGAUUAGCUAGUUGGUGGGGUAAAGGCCUACCAAGGCGACGAUCCGUAACUGGUCUGAGAGGAUGAUCAGUCACACUGGAACUGAGACACGGUCCAGACUCCUACGGGAGGCAGCAGUGGGGAAUAUUGGACAAUGGGCGAAAGCCUGAUCCAGCCAGGCCGCGUGUGUGAAGAAGGUCUUCGGAUUGUAAAGCACUUUAAGUUGGGAGGAAGGGCAGUAAGUUAAUACCUUGCUGUUUUGACGUUAACAACAGAAUAAGCACCGGCUAACUUCGUG